AGCGAACGCUGGCGGUAGGCCUAACACAUGCCAGUCGAACGGCAGCACAGUAAGAGCUUGCUCUUACGGGUGGCGAGUGGCGGACGGGUGAGGAAUACAUCGGAAUCUACUUUUUCGUGGGGGAUAACGUAGGGAAACUUACGCUAAUACCGCAUACGGCCUACGGGUGAAAGCAGGGGAUCUUCGGACCUUGCGCGAUUGAAUGAGCCGAUGUCGGAUUAGCUAGUUGGCGGGGUAAAGGCCCACCAAGGCGACGAUCCGUAGCUGGUCUGAGAGGAUGAUCAGCCACACUGGAACUGAGACACGGUCCAGACUCCUACGGGAGGCAGCAGUGGGGAAUAUUGGACAAUGGGCGCAAGCCUGAUCCAGCCAUACCGCGUGGGUGAAGAAGGCCUUCGGGUUGUAAAGCCCUUUUGUUGGGAAAGAAAAGCAGCAGGUUAAUACCCCGCUGUUCUGACGGUACCCAAAGAAUAAGCACCGGCUAACUUCGUG
rnacentral:rRNA from 1 species